CUUUUCGUUCUUCCAGUCUUCUUUCUCACCGUCAACGGUUAACUUAAUCUGCAAACCCAAAGAUUUCUCCUUCCAUCUCUUGACCUCCCCUAAUCAUUCAACGUCUUCUUAAUUUCGUCUUCUCAUCUCUUAACCUCCCCUGUCGUUCAAUGUAUCUUAAUUUCGACCUCUUCGGAUCCUUCAUGUCAAAUCUAUAAAUUAAAGAGGGUUGAGACUAGGAUGAAUCUUCAGAACCACUUUCAGUUAUUCAUUUUUAUCAAGGGUAGAAAGAUGGCUUCCUCCGAUGUUGUUGCGCACUCCGCCUUUGAUGCUCUUCGUCUCGGUAAAUCUACCCAGUCAUUGUUGCUCGGCUGCUUCGUUUUUUUGGACUCAAAAACCAUCAAGAAGCAAGCUAAAUUCAUGGAAAUCAUUCUACUUCUCCGUGAUGAGAAGAUGACAUUCAUCAUGCGGAGAGUGGCGCUAAUGGAUGAGAGGUUAUUAUGAGUGGAAAGCUCCAUGCUCAAAAGGUGCCAAGUCCAUGAAAUUCAAGGUCGGUUACAUGGUUUCCUCCGGUCAACUAACCAAGUAGUACAUCGAAUCUGUAGUUAAACAUGUUCUGUUUAUACAUGUGACUAGGGUCUGCUCGGAAUCAAGGUUAAGGUCCUGCUUGACUGGGACCCUAUUACGAAGCUAGGACCAAUGACACCAUUACACGAUCUUGUGAUCAUCCAUGCUCCCAAGGGAAAAGAUGUUAACUCCGCAGCUGCUCAGGUUGUUACUUUGGCUGCUCUUCUACUGAAAGCUCCACUCACAACCGUAGAGUACACUGACCAAGUAACCUUCCGAUCCUGAUUUUGGAGACGCAAUUGGAAGUGUGAGCUCCAUUGAUUCUUUGAUUCUGGUGAGAGACGCUUAAAUAUGUUUUAUCAUAUAAGUUAUAACCAUAUGCGUUAAAAGAUAUACAGAUUUGUUAUUGUAUUAUUUUAACUUAAUUCACAUUUGUUUGGGAAUUGUGGGGUUAUAGUUGAUUACAAAACUGAAAUACAAUAGAAACGUGUAAA